AUUUGAUUUUAUUAGGAUCUCUUUUAGUCCCCAUUAGAACUAAUCUUCCAAGAGUCCUUAAAAUUAAAAUACAAUUUAUAAUACAAACAAAUGUUCCACAUAUAACACACUAUUACAAACAUACAUAAUAUACUAACAUAAUGACCCAAUAAAUACUCAGUCUAAAAAAAUAUUGAUUCUUCAUCUACUAUACUCCCACAACAUUUCUAUCUAUUAUAUUUAAAUCAUUUUAAAAUAAUGUUUACAUUUAUAUAUUGAAAGGUUUCUCGUUUGCUCAAUUAAUUAAUUCAAUUUCUUUAUUGCUCUAAAUCAAAAUGUUCUUUUGCCCAUUUCUCUUUUCUGUCUGGACAACGCAUAGAUGGUGGACAAUCUAUUCCUAGUAUUUACUGAAUGUCUGUCUCUUAACCAACUGAAUACCGUUGUGAAUAGAACUCGGACGUUUUAAAUUAUUUAUAUUAUGAAGUAAAAUAAGCAUGUUUUUUUUUUCUUUAAUUAUCUUGUCGAUUGAUGACCAACCAAGAACACUGCACAUAGAACCGCAACAGUAGAACCAUAUCUCCACCUUAAAACAACCCAUGACUGCAACAGUAGAACCAUAUCUCCACCUUAAAACAACCCAUGACUGCAACAGUAGAACCACAUCUCCACCUUAAAACAACCCAUGACUGUAGAUUGUCAAGCCUCUGAUCCUGGGUAAACCAACAAGGUAGAUUGUCAAGCCUCUGAUCCUGGGUAAACCAACAAGGUAGAUUGUCAAGCCUCUGAUCCUGGGUAAACCAACAAGGUAGAUUGUCAAGCCUCUGAUCCUGGGUAAACCAACAAGGAAGAUUGUCAAGCCUCUGAUCCUGGGUAAACCAACAAGGUAGAUUGUCAAGCCUCUGAUCCUGGGUAAACCAACAAGGAAGAUUGUCAAGCCUCUGAUCCUGGGUAAAC
ensembl:lncRNA